GACGAACCGUGCGAACGUUAUUCGGAAUCACUGGGCUUAAAGCGCGUGUAGGCGGGGCGGUGCGUCGGGCGCUGAAAUCCCCCGGCUCAACCGGGGAAGGGGCGCCGAGACGACCGCCCUGGAGCGACGUAGGGGGAACUGGAACUUCCGGUGGAGCGGUGAAAUGCGUUGAGAUCGGGAGGAACAUCAGUGGCGAAGGCGGCCAUCUGGGACAACACUGACGCUGAAGCACGAAAGCGUGGGGAGCAAACAGG
rnacentral:rRNA from 1 species